rnacentral:rRNA from 1 species
CAGUCGAGCGGAACGAGUUAUCUGAACCUUCGGGGAACGAUAACGGCGUCGAGCGGCGGACGGGUGAGUAAUGCCUAGGAAAUUGCCCUGAUGUGGGGGAUAACCAUUGGAAACGAUGGCUAAUACCGCAUGAUGCCUACGGGCCAAAGAGGGGGACCUUCGGGCCUCUCGCGUCAGGAUAUGCCUAGGUGGGAUUAGCUAGUUGGUGAGGUAAGGGCUCACCAAGGCGACGAUCCCUAGCUGGUCUGAGAGGAUGAUCAGCCACACUGGAACUGAGACACGGUCCAGACUCCUACGGGAGGCAGCAGUGGGGAAUAUUGCACAAUGGGCGCAAGCCUGAUGCAGCCAUGCCGCGUGUGUGAAGAAGGCCUUCGGGUUGUAAAGCACUUUCAGUCGUGAGGAAGGUGGUGUAGUUAAUAGCUGCAUCAUUUGACGUUAGCGACAGAAGAAGCACCGGCUAACUCCGUGCCAGCAGCCGCGGUAAUACGGAGGGUGCGAGCGUUAAUCGGAAUUACUGGGCGUAAAGCGCAUGCAGGUGGUUUGUUAAGUCAGAUGUGAAAGCCCGGGGCUCAACCUCGGAAUAGCAUUUGAAACUGGCAGACUAGAGUACUGUAGAGGGGGGUAGAAUUUCAGGUGUAGCGGUGAAAUGCGUAGAGAUCUGAAGGAAUACCGGUGGCGAAGGCGGCCCCCUGGACAGAUACUGACACUCAGAUG